ACCGAGCUAGAUAAUGCUAGCUUGUAACUCGGGUGAUGGUACCAAGAUGAUGGGACAUGGCUCAGACUAUGCUUGGCUGUGAUGGUGGCUGCAUUAUUUUGGCAUGCCCACUCCAAGUUAAGAGUUGAACAAUGGGACUUGUGCGAGGACCAUAAUCAGGUGUGCCAAGCUCUUGAACUAUCAUUUUA
rnacentral:SRP_RNA from 1 species